rnacentral:tRNA from 1 species
AGAAACUUAGGAUAGAACCAAACCAGAGACCUUCAAAGCCUCAAACAAGAGCGAACAUCUCUUAGUUUCUG